GCAAGUCGAACGGAAACGAUUGAAGCUUGCUUCAGGCGUCGCGUGGCGGACGGGUGAGUAAUACUUAGGAAUCUGCCCAUUAGUGGGGGACACCUCGAGGAAACUCGAGCUAAUACCGCAUACGCCCUACGGGGGAAAGCGGGGGUCUUCGGACCUCGCGCUAAUGGAUGAGCCUAAGUCGGAUUAGCUAGUUGGUGAGGUAAAGGCUCACCAAGGCGACGAUCCGUAGCUGGUCUGAGAGGACGAUC
rnacentral:rRNA from 1 species